rnacentral:lncRNA from 1 species
GAGAAAGGGCACACCUUGAAUUGAGAGUGCAGGGAGAACCGAGGAUUGGAGAGAGAACGGAGAGUGGAGAAAAACGAAAAAUUUGAAUUGUAGAGAGAGAAAAGGAAAAAAGUUUGUACCUUGUUCAAAGAACCAAUGUCACCAAACGAACCCGUUGCACCAAAAAAGCGAAAUCACCAAAUGGACACCCAAGGAGAGAGAAAGAGACAAAAUUGAAACCACUUCGAGGCCUUCACCAAAUACAAAGAGAGAACUUGGUGAGAGAAACUGAAAACCUAAAAUGGAGAGUAGAGAGAGUGUUUCGGAAGAAGGAUACAGUGCUGAAAGAAUGACGGUGGUUUUGGAAUAAGCAAAUGAAAAUGGAGGGAGAAGAGAGUGCUAUGGAGAGAAGUUCAAAUGAAAAUGAAAUCCCUAAAAUGGAGAGAGAAGAUAGUGUUAUGGAGAGAGGAUAGAGUGCAAAAACGAAGGAGGACAGUUUCAGAAUAAUAAAUUGUCCAAUCCUAACUCUUUUCCAAAUCAGAUUUUGAAAAAAUAAAAAAAAUUCAAAAUGGACCAAUACGAAGCUAACACGUGUCGUUGUCAAAAUUGUGUUGUCAACAUAUCACGAUCCAAAAAUAAAAGGCUACACAAAAAGUUUAGGAAAGUUUCUUGUAGGAGAUUUGAGAAAUGAGUGAAAUGUGAGAAAAAAAAAAUGAAAGUUUUAUGUAAGAGGUUUGGAUGAAGGGGGCAAAUGUGAGGAGGGGCGAUAGGUUUGAAAAAAAUUUCAACAUAAAAGAAAAGCUAGAAGGGUGAAAAAUGUAUUUUAACAUGGGGAAGUCAAAAACCUCUUUAUAAAACAAUUAAAACUCGUAUUAUUUUCGGUCUUUGGAUAACUUCUUUUAAUCAAUUUAAAUAAUGUUAAUUUGGGGAGGAUUUUAUAACUCCCACAAAAUAAAUAACAUUUUUUUUAUAAUAUAAAUUAAAUUUAACUUUAUUUAAAAUUUUAAUGUAUUUUUGAUUUCAAAUUUUAAU